AUCCACAGAACUUGGCAGAGAUGCCUUGGUGCCUUCGGGAACUGUGAGACAGGUGCUGCAUGGCUGUCGUCAGCUCGUGUUGUGAAAUGUUGGGUUAAGUCCCGCAACGAGCGCAACCCUUAUCCUUUGUUGCCAGCGGUUCGGCCGGGAACUCAAAGGAGACUGCCAGUGAUAAACUGGAGGAAGGUGGGGAUGACGUCAAGUCAUCAUGGCCCUUACGACCAGGGCUACACACGUGCUACAAUGGCAUAUACAAAGAGAAGCGACCUCGCGAGAGCAAGCGGACCUCAUAAAGUAUGUCGUAGUCCGGAUUGGAGUCUGCAACUCGACUCCAUGAAGUCGGAAUCGCUAGUAAUCGUGGAUCAGAAUGCCACGGUGAAUACGUUCCCGGGCCUUGUACACACCGCCCAGUCGACACCAUGGGAGUGGGUUGCAAAAGAAGUA
rnacentral:rRNA from 1 species